rnacentral:lncRNA from 1 species
AAAGAAAGAAAGAAGAAAAAAAAAAAAAAAAAAAUCGAGCGAAUUUUACUCAUAAACUUUAAUUAGAUAUCACAUUAUGAUCGAUCUGGCCUCGAAAGAUUAAUCAUAAUUCAUAAUCCAAAAUUUAACUAAUUAAUCAUUUCUGGCCUGAACUUUAACGAAGAUUAGCAUUAAAAAUCAUUGGUUUUUCGAUAUUUCUUCGAUUACUUAUUCCUCUUCACUCUCUCUCUCUAAGAAGAAAACUUUUUUUUUUUUUUUUAAUAAACUCGUUUCUGCGUUAGAAGACGAUUACAGAGGAAGAGGGGAAAAAAAAAAAAAAAAACAGGAAAAUUCCAAUAAUAAAAGCGUAAUUAAUUAUUUAGAUAGUGGAAAAUUAAGCGCUAAAGGUUCAAAAGUUAUAAUAAUCCUCCAUAUGUGUGUAUGCGUGUAUGUAUAAAUAUAAAAGUUGGAAGAGAGAUGGAGAGAGAGAGAGGAUAAUACGUUUAAUUCAUCAUCAAAAUCCCCGAGUUUACAUAGCAAAUUAAAUGUGAAAAUUCAAAACUGGUUACAAUUAAUUUCAAACUUUAGAAAAUUUAAUUAAAACAUCCUCAACUGAACAUAAUGAACGGUAACAUUCUAUUUACACACAUCGUUAGUUUCAAAGAUGUAAACCCCCGAAAGAAAUUGGUUUUCGGAAUAAAGAGAGUCACAAAUAGUUACAAAGCUCUAUUUACUUUACAGGACAAAAUUAAACAACAAUCCUGCACAACUCUCUCUCUCUUCCUCUCUAGCUCUCUCUUCCUCUUCAUCUCUGUUCUUUACAUCUCUGUUUGACUGCUGCGUGUAUAUAUAUAUGUAUAUGUGUGUGUAUACAAGCGACUUAUAGUUUUUAAAAAAAUUCUUAAUCGUGAUAAUUAAUCGCUCGGAUAGUUCCGUCACGUUUGACAACCGUUUCAAUCGCAUUAAUUAUCUGGUUGAUUAAAAUAACGUUUGCGCCGAUAAAUUUAAUGGCGUAGAAUAGAAACGAUAGCUUUUAAAUUAAACUGCGUGACGCGUGUCGGUCGAUAUUUUUUGGCGGUUUUAAAAGCCACGUUUUCUGUCUUUAAAAAAGUGCUAGAACGUUUACGGCAGUACAGCUUCUCUUAAGUGACAGCCAGUCCUGUGUGUCUGUGUUCGUGUAAACGUCCGAAAAUUAAAAAUAAAUGCACUACCCGCUUUAAUAACCGUGCAAAAUAUUGUUGUUUAUAUUUCGGAGAAGUUGUUACGUUAAAUAAAGUUAAGUAGACGCGUCACAGAAGUUUAAUCCGAUAAAACAAAAAGGUGACUUUGAAAGAAACAAUAUGG